CCUACGGGAGGCAGCAGUGAGGAAUAUUGGUCAAUGGGCGCGAGCCUGAACCAGCCAAGUAGCGUGAAGGAUGACUGCCCUACGGGUUGUAAACUUCUUUUAUAAAGGAAUAAAUUGAGACACGUGUGCCUUUUUGUAUGUACUUUAUGAAUAAGGAUCGGCUCACGCCGUGCCAGCAGCCGCGGUAAUACGGAGGAUCCGAGCGUUAUUCGGAUUUAUGGGGUGUAAAGUGAGCGUAGGCGGGUUGGUAAGGCAGUAGGUAAAGUUUGGGGCUCAACCGUAAAAUUGCAAUUGAUACUGGCAGACUUGAGUACAGGUGAGGUAUGCGGAAUUCGUGGUGUAGCGGUGAAAUGCUUAGAUAUCACGAAGAACUCCGAUUGCGAAGGCAGCAUACUAAACUGCAACUGACAUUGAUGCUCGAAAGUGUGGGUAUCAAACAGGAUUAGAUACCCUGGUAGUC
rnacentral:rRNA from 1 species